AACGAACGCUGGCGGCAGGCCUAACACAUGCAAGUCGAGCGAGGUAGCAAUACCUAGCGGCGGACGGGUGAGUAACGCGUGGGAACGUACCCUUUGCUACGGAAUAGCCCCGGGAAACUGGGAGUAAUACCGUAUGUGCCCUUCGGGGAAAGAUUUAUCGGCAAAGGAUCGGCCCGCGUUGGAUUAGGUAGUUGGUGGGGUAAUGGCCUACCAAGCCGACGAUCCAUAGCUGGUUUGAGAGGAUGAUCAGCCACACUGGGACUGAGACACGGCCCAGACUCCUACGGGAGGCAGCAGUGGGGAAUCUUAGACAAUGGGCGCAAGCCUGAUCUAGCCAUGCCGCGUGAGUGAUGAAGGCCUUAGGGUUGUAAAAGCUCUUUCAGAUGGGAAGAUAAUGACGGUACCAUCAGAAGAAGCCCCGGCUAACUCCGUGCCAGCAGCCCGCGGUAAUGUCAGUGACU
rnacentral:rRNA from 1 species